GCGAUGACGCAAGAAAAUAUCACUACAGGCAACAGCGACGUAUACGAUGUUUUCCUUUCUCAAAGAACGGUCACAUGUUCAUGAUGGAGGCCAUGGGCGAGAAUAGUAAGAUGUGCUUUCAAGAAUUCCGUAUGUAUCCUGCAAUGCUUCGACAUUUCGCUUAUGUGUUGCGCGAUGAGCAUGGGCUACGUACGAACCAGCAUGUUGACAUCUACGAGCAAGUUGGCAUGUUCUUAUGCAUAUUAGCGCACGGGAAGGGAUAUCGACAGGUGACAACAAUUUUCAACCAUUCAUUGGAAACUGUAUGUCACUACGUUAAAGAGGUUC
rnacentral:lncRNA from 1 species